GGGCCUUCUCUCUUCUCGAGCUGCUUCAUGUGCUCAAAACACACAUGCAGUAGUAAAAUGUGUGGGUUUUCUGUGCUUUUUAAAGAUCUUUUAAUAAGACUUUUCUAAAUAAAUUUCUCAAAAUUAAAAGUGAGAGUGUCCUCUCCCUGUUUUCUCCCCCAUGCUCAGUCCUUCUGAAGUCAGAAGACUGUAUACAUAGAUGUUCAGAAAGGAUUCCAGCUGGUAUGUAAGUGAAUGUCAGUGUCCUGAAUGUGAACCAGAAGAAUUCCUGAUGCUUCAAUUUCUAAAAUAUUCCCAUUUUAAAUGAUAAUAUUUGAGUUUCUACUUCAUAAAGUAACUCUGGGGUGCUUAUUUUAGACAAUUCUUUAAGCUUUUUAUUUAUUCUCUAAGAAAGUAAUCUUCCUAUUGCCAGUUGCCGAGAAACAUCAGGAUCUAGGAAAAUGUAGGGCCAGAGAGUAGUACAAAGUGUUAAAUUAUCAGAGUUUAUGUAUAUUAUAUAAACAGCUAUAAGUUAAGCAAGAUUUGGGCAUGUUAUGUAUAA
rnacentral:lncRNA from 1 species